UUUUGUUGUUAUUAUUAUUUCGAAAUUGAAUUGGCUCGCUUGUGAUUUUCAUAUUCUUCGUUUUGAUACACAAUUUGUUACUGUAAAAAUCAAUUCUUCUUCUCACGGGUUCACAAGAUCAUUUUCAAGCUUGGGAUUGCAAUAUAGGCCAAUUGUUUUUUGGUAAUUGAGAAUCCAUUGGAAGACCGAGUGAUUCAAGGCUGUCAAACCUUCCUAAUUACAAGGAAGAAUAUAAAGGCAACUAUCUAAAAGACUUGAUCUUAUUCAACCGUCUCAGGGUUAUUGAGUUUUAUUAUUUUUACUUUUAUUUUUUUUUAUUUUUUUAUUUUUUAUUUUCAUUUUUAUUUUUGCUUUUUGCUUUUUAUUUUAUGUUUCUAUUUAUGUUUUCAGAUUUUUGUGUUUAGUUUUUUAUUUUUUAUUUUUUAUUCUAUUUUCUUUUUGUAGCUUAGAUUUUUGUAUUUAUUGUUUUCUCUAUUUCUAUUUCUAUUUUUAGUUUCUAUUUUUAUUUUUAUUUUUUAUUUUUUAAAUUUAUAUUUAUAUUUUUAAUUCUAUUUCUAUUUCUUAUUUUCGGCUGCUAUCCUAUUUUUGUUUUUUUUUUCAAUUUUUAUUUUUACUUUUUGUUUUGUAUUUCAAUUUCUAAUUUAUGUUUAUAAUUUUUAUUUUAUUUUCAGUUUAUAUUUUUAUUUCUGUUUUUUAUUUAUUUUAUGUUUUUCAUUUUAUAUUAUCUUUUCAGUUUCUAUUUCUAUUUUUUAUUUUUUAAUUUUUAGUUUCAGUUUUUAUUUUUUAUUUUAAUUAUCUAUUACUAUUACUAUUUUUAUUUUUAUUUUUUUAUUUUUAAAAUUAUAGAGUUAUAUUUGAAGUCUAUUCUAUUCUUUUCUGUUAGUGAUGUAUUUCUAUUUCUCAUUUUUUUUCUUAUUUUGAAUUUUCUUCUAUUUUGUUUUUAUUUUUAUUUCUUUUUUCCAAUUUUAUUUUUAUUUUUAAUUCUAUUCUAUUUCGAUUCUAUUCUAUUCUUUUUAGUUGAUUCUACUCUAUUUUUGAUUUCAUUUCUAUGUUAUAUUUUUUUUUGUUUAAUUGUAUUUAUGUUUCUAUUUAUGUAUUCAGUCUUUUUUAUCUUCUCAAAUUUUAUUUUUUAUUUUUGUUUUUAUUUUUUAUUCCUUUUUUGAGUUUUUUUAAUUUUUUUAUGUUUUUACUUUUUUUAUGAUCUCAAUUUUUAUUCUAUUUCAAUUAAUAAUUCUAUUUCAAGUUUUUAUUUUUAUUUUUGUUUUAGUUUUUUUAAUUUUUUUUAUAUAAAUUUCUAUUUUUAUUUUUUUCGUUGUUAUUUUUAUAUUCUGAUUAUAUAUUUUAGUUCCUGUUUUUUUUUUUUAUGAAUCUAUUCCUAUUUCAAUUUUUAGUUUAUAAUUCUAUUUUUAAUUUUAAUUUUUUUUUUUUUGUUCAGUUUCUAUUUCUGUUUUUAUGGAUAUUUUUCUAUUACCUGUUUCUAUUCUUGUUUUUUUAUUUUUUCUAUGUUCUCUUUUUUUUAUUUUUUGUUCUUAGUUUUAUUUCAAUUUCUAUUUAUAGUUCUUAAUUUUUAAUAUUUAUUUCUAUUUUCUUUUUUAUUUUCAAUUUGAAUUUGAAUUUGAAUUUUUUAUUUCUAUUUUUCAUUUUUAUAGGUUUCUGUUUGUUUUUUAUUUUCAGUUUCCAUUUCUAUUUUCUGUUUUUAGUUUUAUUUCUAUUUUCAUUUAUGAUUUUCAUUUUUUGUUUUAUUUGUUUUUGUAAUUUUUUUCUGCUUUCAAUUUUUAUUAUUUAACUUCUAUUUAUGUUUUCAGUUUUUUUAAUGUUCGCAUAUUUUAUUUUCUCUUUCUCUUUUUGAUUUUUUGUUUUUAUUUUUUUGUUUUUGUUUUUAUUUUCUAUUUUUAUUUUUAAUUCUUUAUUCUUUACAUCUUUUCUUUUUUUAUUUCUGUUUUUUAAUUUAAUUUCUGUUUCUACUUUUGUUUUUGUUUUUUUAAAAUUUUUUUUGGUUAAUUUUAUGUUUUCUGUUUUUCUGUUUUACAUUUAAAUCUGUUUUUCGUUUUUUUUUUAGUUUUAGGGCUUUAUUUUAAUUUUAAGUUUCUAUUUCUUCUUUUUGGUUUAUGUUUUUAUUUUCAGUUUUAUUUACAGUUUUUAUUUUUUUAUCUUUUUUUAUUUCUUUUUUGUGUUUUAGUUUGCAAUUUAUUUUUUUUUAGUUUUUUUAUAUGAUCUUAGUUUUAUUUUUUAUUUUCAGUUUAUAUUUCUAGAUUUGUUUUUAGUUUUCAGUUUUCAGUUUUAAUUUUUGGUUUUAUUUUUUAUUUUCUAUUUCUUUGUAUUUCUGUUUUUGUUUUUUGUAUCUUUUUUUAAUUUUAAUUUUAAUUUUUGUUUUCUUUUCUAUUUCUAUUCUCUAUUUUUAUUUUUAUUUUCUGGUUUUAGUUUAUAUUUUUUACAUUUUUAUUUUUAAUUUCUAUCGUUUUCAUUUCUGUUUUGAUUUUUGGGUUUUAUUUUUUAUUUU
rnacentral:lncRNA from 1 species